GGAUGUUGACCCGGAGCCUCCCUGCGCUCCUGCGGCGGCCCCGCCACAUAACAAGAAGCUGAAGCUCAAGGAAGGAGGUUCUGGGACUCAUCUCAGAUCCCAUGGCCAGGAAGCGGUGGCCACUCUGGAAUUCUUGACCCUGCCCAGACCAGCACCUUCCACAGCAGAGACCCCCUCCAAGGAGCGGGCGACGUGUGACUUCCCCAUGGGUGGACUCUGGGCUGCAGUGAUCGGCUAGCGGUGCCAUCUUUAGUCUGGGAGCUGUGUGAAGCCUGCUCCCCACCUUCCCCCUCCUGCAAAUAUUGGGGGAGGGGCAUGGAGGACAGGAAGAUAGAAGCAAAAGUGGCAGUGACCGGUGCAUGAGAGAUUGGGAGAUACGUGCUGGGGAGGGGUUCCCCGGAGCAGAGCUGGCUGCCCUUGGCACUGGGCCCAGGCGGAGGAGUGGCAAGACCAACAGUUCCUGGAGCACAAGUCCCUCAGCCGGUGCCCAGUGCCAGCCAUCGCCAUGUUCUCAUCUGCCAGCAGCAAAAUGAGAAAAAUAAGGACAAUAUAGUGAGGUUUUACUAAAGCUAGGUUUACUCAAUCCAAAAGACUGUCCUUUUAUCUGAGCUUUGUAUUUUCAAUCGUGUGUGUGUCUGUGUGUGUGUGUCUGUGUCUGUGUGUGUCUGUGUGUGUGAGCACAAAAGGACCUUUCCUUUGACAUUUCCUUUUAAUGACCUCAAACUCAGCAAAAUAAAAAAACUGGUGACUAGCUGGUGUGGUGGCUCAUGCCUGAAAUCCCAGCACUUUGGGAGGCCGAGGUGGACAGAUCGCUUAAGGCCAGUAGUCUGAGACCAGCCUGGCCAACAUGGUGAAACCCCAUCUCUACUAAAAAUACAGAAAUUAGCUGGGUAUGGUGGCGGACGCCUGUAAUUCCAGCUACUCGAGAAGCUGAGGCACAGGAGUCGCUUAAACCUAGGAGGCGGGGGUUGCAGUGAGCUGAGAUGGCACCACUGCGCUCCAGCCUGGGUGACACAGCGAGGCUCUGUCGCAAAAACAAAACUGGUGACGACGUCAGAUCCUAAAUUUUUUUAUUUUUUUGAAAUGUUAGUGAUGUGAGAAAUCCGAAAGGCUGAGACCCACUGGGCUAGCUUGUACGUGGCUCUGGGUGAAACCUGGCACAGGGGGGCAAUGUUUUUUAAUUGAGGGAUGAAUCUAAACAGCUGGAAGCUUCUCCCGGGGGGAGGAGGGGCUGGGUUCUUGCCCAGACUCAGCCCCUGAGGCCCCAGCCUAGGCAUCCCCAGGAAACCUGAGCAGAAGGAACAUUCACGUAACUGUACUGGGAAUUCUGAGAAGGGCCUAGGGGCCAGUUCCCCAUGCCACACACCCUCUGCUCAUCCCUGACCGGGAGCCGCGAGGCAAUCUUCCCUUAAACCCCACCUCGGCCUCCCCCAGCACCCCCAAGGCUGGUUCCAAAAUAGUCCAGGCCCUUGGAGGAGACAUCAUGGGUCGGGCUGGCUGCCUGUCCCGAGAGGACAUGGCAAUAACGCUGUGGCCGAAUAUAGAGGGACAGUAGACGCUGACAGGGGCCCUGGGGCCUGGGAGCCUCGCAGGUUCCACGGUGCCUGCUCCACCCCCAUCCCUUCUGAGCCCUGCACCCCCUAACCUGGACAGCUGGGAGGCUGGCGCCCCUCUCCUGGCCCAGCCCGGCCCACCUGGGGACAGGUCCGAACAAGCCCAGGUAGAACAGGAGGCCGGCCUAGGAGGGCCCAGGGCCUGGGCUGGGCAUGAGCUUGGGGCCACCUCUCUCUAGGGACUCAAAGCAUUUUAUAAGCUUAACUUCCCACAGGACAUCCCGAGAUCAGGAGACCAAGAGGAACCGGGGUGUCUGCUGCAGAGCCACUCCUGCUCUCUGUUCUCAGCUUCCGAAGGAGAACAGGGCCAUAAAGCUGGGGUGUGGGAGGCUGAGAGGAGAGCAGGAAGCCAGUCCAAACCCCAAUAAACUGCUGGUUGAAUCGAAUCACAAAUAAUUAGUCCCGAUGGCCAAGACUGCCUCCACCCUCCUCUCCUGGGAAUUAAAAGUCAAAGGGCAGAGCUGCUGACGCAGAUGCCAGGGGAGACAUGAGGCUUGGAACAGCUGGGACUCAGCUCCCAGGCUCCACUGCCCCAGGUCGCAGGCCCUGGUUGCCCCGGUUGCCCCGGACACGAUGUCCCCCAGGCAGGCCCCUAGAGCUUCAUUGCCAACUCAGGGAAGGGGGCUCUGCUCCCUCACCCUUCCCCUGGUGCUACGUCAACAGAACUAGAUUCAAGGUUAAUCAGGCUGCCCUGAAAACUGUUGCCAGAUGACAGCCUGGAAGAAGCAGUUGCCAGCCUCUCUCCCUCCCACCCCUGUAAGAGGAGGAAGAGAUCUCUGCCUCCCUGUCGAGGGGGAGCCUGGCUCCCUGAAACCCACUGCGCCCCUUCCCCUAGGUCGGCCUUGCCGCAGGCACCCCCUGGACGGCUGCACCAGGUCUGCGCGCCAGCGGUGACCCCCAGUGGUCAGUGCAGGACUUGAACCUGAGCCGUGGGCAUGGCUGCUGCAGACUCAUCACUGCAGCCUCAGCCCACAGCCAGUGACUUGGGAAGCCUUGCCGUGUGAGUGGUUUGGGGAUUUGAUCUUGGUAAGGCUGUUGCUGGCGUUUAGAGGUACUUCGUAGGUGCUGAUUUUUCCUAAUUGAACUGUGGCUGGAUCUUGGCCUAAAGGUCCCACUGUCAGCAAAUCCGUGUCCACAUGCCUAAGAAUGAAUUCAUCAUCUUCUAGCCCUAAACCGGCUCCUCCUCCUGACUUCCCUAUUUCUAUUAAUAGCACCGCCACCCUCCAAACCUCCGAGUCAUCUUCAGCCGCUCCCCACACUGGGCGGGGUGCCUGAUCUUGCCCCUCCUCCCUCCGCAGGUCACCCUUGCAUUACUCUCCUGGACACUCGUAGCCUCUCACCUGCGUCACUGACAUCCUCAACGAUGCUGCUGGGUCAGACCUGGGCAGGGGACCCACCCCUCUUCCACUUACUGGCCUCGCGACCCUGGGCAAGUUACUUAAACUCUCUGAGUCUCAGCUUCCUCAGCUGUAAUGUGAGGCUAAUAAUCACAGCCCCUCUCUCCUAGGGCAUUGCAUGAAUUAAAUGAUAGGCUGGGUGUGGUGGCUCAUGCCUGUAAUCCCAGCACUUUGGGAGGCCCCGGUGGGAGGAUCACCUGAGGUCAGGAGUUCCAGACCAGCCUGGCCAACAUAGUGAAACCCCGUCUCUACUAGAAAUACAAAAAUUAGCCAUGCCUGUAGUCCCAGCUACUCCGGAGACUGAGGCAGGAGAACCGCUUGAACCCAGGAGGCGGAGGUUGCAGCGAGCUGAGAUGUGCCACUGCACUCCAGCUUGGGCGACAGAGCCAGACUCCAUCUCAAAAAUAAAUAAAUAAAUAAAUAAAAUAAAAAAGAAUUAAAUGAUAGAAUGGACAUGAAGACCCUAUCACGUAAGAAAUGCUCGGGCCGGGCGCGGUGGCUCACGCCUGUAAUCCCAGCACUUUGGAAGGCCGAGGCAGGCGGAUCACGAGGUCAGGAGAUCGAGACCAUCCUGGCUAACAUGGCGAAACUCCAUCUCUACUAAAAAUACAAAAAAAUUAGCCGGGCGUGGUGGCGGGAGCCUGUAGUCCCAGCUACUCGGGAGGCUGAGGCAGGAGAAUGGCGUGAACCCAGGAGGCGGAGCUUGCAGUGAGCUGAGAUCGUACCACUGCACUCCAGGCUGGGUGACAGAGCGAGACUCCGUCUCAAAAAAAAAGAAAUGCUCAAUGGGUAUGGAUUAUUAGAAAUCAUCCAGUCCAAUGCUCUCAUUUUAUAAGCAGGGAAACUGAGGCCCACGUGUCUUUACAACAUGCUACAAAGCCAGGGACUUGGAAGUUCCUGAAAUCUUGAAGCUCUUCCACUCCCCUCCUCCACCAUCACGGCAUUCUAGAACUCAGAACAAAAGGCCAGCUCUUGAGUCCUCUGGGCCCCUUCCUCUGCUUUCAGGGGCAGGUAUGCUUGGGUAAGUGUGGUGGUCACUCAGUCACAGGAAGUAUGUUCUGGGAUGGGACAACCACAGCUGGUAUCCAGCCAGCUGAGUCAGGGCCACCCAUCUGCAAGGUGAUGAGUGAGGCUCGGCACGUGGGCUGGCACAGCUGCCCACCUCAGGGCACACAGGGGCGUGCUCACAUGGCAGCUGUCCAAAAAGGGCAGAUGUCUCUGCCUUUGGCAAUCCCGCCUUCACCUCCCUCUCCCCACACACACCGCACCCCAGUCACAGGGUGAUCACACAGGGGUCAGAGGAAGGAGGGCAGGCUGAUUCAGCCUCUUCCCAUCUGGUUCUGCUUCCCUGUGGGCAGGUGUCCUUAAUAUUCUCUCCAUGAAUGAGCACCUGGUACCCACAAACUCCUUGAAAUUGAAGGUAGGAGCCUUGUUCCAGGAUAAGGAUCAUAUAGCUGUCAUCAGAUUUCAAAAAGGAUUUUACUCCCAAAAAGGCAAUAGGAAGAAAAGCAAGUGGGCUGGGCGUGGUGGCUCAUGCCUAUAAUCCCAGCACUUUGGGAGGCCGAGGCAGGUGGAUCACCUGAGGUCAGGAGUUCGAGACCAGCCUGGCCAACAUGGUGAAACCCCACCUCUACUAAAAAUACAAAAAUUAGCCAGGCAUGGUGGCACGAGCCUGUAACCCCAGCUGCUUGGGAGGCUAAGGCAGGAGAAUCACUUGAACCUGGGAGGCAGAGGUUGCAGUGAGCUGAGAUCAUGCCACUGCACUCCAGCCUGGGCAACACAGUGAGACUCUGUCUCACAAAAAAAAAAAAAAAGAAAAGAAAAGCAAGUGGACAGGCUUUAGAAUUGGAUGAUCCAGGUUCAAACAAGGGCCCAUCCUGGAGUCCUUGGCACUUACUGUCUACGACAAUGGUUCUCAAGUAGGGACGAUUUUGCCCCCUAGGAACAUGUCUGGAGAAAUUGGGUAUGCUACCGGCAUUUAGUGGGCAGAGGCCAAGGAUGCUGCUAUGUAUCCUAUAAUGCACAGGGCAGGCCACACAGCAAAGAAGCACCCAGCCUCACAUGUCAGUACUAGUGAGGUUGAGAACCGCUGGUUGAGGUGUCCUGUCAAAUGGGGAAAUCUGUGCCCCACAGCCGCCUUGGGGAUUAAGGCAGGCAAUGGAUGAGGAACCCAGGACUGGGCCCAGCACACACUCCACAGUUGCAUGGGAUUCUCCUCUCCUAAGGACUUUUUGGCCUGGGACAUGGUAGCUAGCGGGCAGAGGUGGAGUAGGCACAUAUUUUGGCUUUCACGAGAGAACUUUCUGAAAUGAUCUUGAUGCUCCUGUCCCACCCAGCUCAUGGCACAGUUUCUCUAGAACAAUCCCAUGCUCAUUUAUCAACAAGGAAAACCCAGGCAUGGUGGCUCACACCUGUAAUCCCAGCACUUUGGGAAUCUGAGAUAGGAGGAUCACUUGAGCUCAGGAGUUCGAGACCAGCCUGGGCAACAUGGCGAAACACUGAUUCUGCAAAAAAUAAAAAAAAAAUUAGCUGGGUGUGGUGGUGUGUGCCUGUAGUCCCAGCUGCCCGGAGGGCUGAUGUAGGUGGAUAGCUCCAGCCUGGGAGGUUGAGGCUGCAGUGAACUAUGAUUGUGUCACUGCACUCCAGCCUGGGCGACAGAGGGGAGACCCUGUCCCAAGAAACAAAAAAAAAAAAAGAAAGAAAGAAAGAAAGAAAGAAAAAGUGGGCUCUGGAAGGAGCCAGCCACCGUUGCCCUCUGGGCACUCACCAUCUCACCCCUCAGGCUCCAACAGGGUUCCACGUGACCAAUCCCCGAGGGGAGAGGAGACUGCGGAGAGGAUGGGAGGCAAAGCACCUCCUUCAAGCUCCAGGGAGGCAGGAGGAUUUGUUUAGGAGUGGCCCUGUGCAGAGGUAGGGGCAUGGCUGAGAACACCUUGGGAGGUGGUGUGAAGCU
rnacentral:lncRNA from 1 species